GUAAAGCGUGCGCAGGCGGUUUUGUAAGACUGUCGUGAAAUCCCCGGGCUCAACCUGGGAAUGGCGAUGGUGACUGCAAGGCUAGAGUUUGGCAGAGGGGGGUAGAAUUCCACGUGUAGCAGUGAAAUGCGUAGAUAUGUGGAGGCACCGAUGGCGAAGGCAGCCCCCUGGGUCAAAACUGACGCUCAUGCACGAAAGCGUGGGGAGCAAACAGGAUUAGAUACCCCGGU
rnacentral:rRNA from 1 species